rnacentral:lncRNA from 1 species
CCCGCUAUGGCAGAGAAAAGUGUUCACAGCCCCGGAGUGUGUGUCCAUACAUGGUGAAUGGAGACCACGGAACAUCCAGCGACAGAAGCCAGAAUAAGGGCUGGUGACCAAGACAGGGAUUCAUGACAUCCAGCGGGGAGAAAGGUAACCACCAUAGCUUUGCCUCCUCCCUGCAGCUAUGCACAGGGCCAACCUGGGGGAAAGCUGCAGGCACAGAUCAGACCAGAGCCACAGCCACCUUUGUGAUCAUCUUGUCUACCAAGAGGCUCUUGGGGAAAGGCCCAGACCUCUGCCUCCCACCAAGGCUCUGCACAUGCAGCCCCUAUAGGACCACACU